rnacentral:rRNA from 1 species
CCUACGGGGGGCAGCAGUGAGGAAUAUUGGUCAAUGGACGAGAGUCUGAACCAGCCAAGUAGCGUGAAGGAUGACUGCCCUAUGGGUUGUAAACUUCUUUUAUAAAGGAAUAAAACGAGGCACGUGUGCCUUUUUGCAUGUACUUUAUGAAUAAGGAUCGGCUAACUCCGUGCCAGCAGCCGCGGUAAUACGGAGGAUCCGAGCGUUAUCCGGAUUUAUUGGGUUUAAAGGGAGCGUAGAUGGGUUGUUAAGUCAGUUGUGAAAGUUUGUGGCUCAACCGCAAAAUUGCAAUUGAUACUGGCAGUCUUGAGUACAGUUGAGGUAGGCGGAAUUCGUGGUGUAGCGGUGAAAUGCUUAGAUAUCACGAAGAACCCCGAUUGCGAAGGCAGCUUACUAAACUGUGACUGACAUUGAUGCUCGAAAGUGUGGGUAGCAAACAGGAUUAGAUACCCCAGUAGUC